rnacentral:rRNA from 1 species
AGAGUUUGAUCCUGGCUCAGAUUGAACGCUGGCGGCAGGCUUAACACAUGCAAGUCGAGCGGUAGCACAGGGGAGCUUGCUCCCUGGGUGACGAGCGGCGGACGGGUGAGUAAUGUCUGGGAAACUGCCUGAUGGAGGGGGAUAACUACUGGAAACGGUAGCUAAUACCGCAUAACGUCGCAAGACCAAAGAGGGGGACCUUCGGGCCUCUUGCCAUCAGAUGUGCCCAGAUGGGAUUAGCUAGUAGGUGGGGUAAUGGCUCACCUAGGCGACGAUCCCUAGCUGGUCUGAGAGGAUGACCAGCCACACUGGAACUGAGACACGGUCCAGACUCCUACGGGAGGCAGCAGUGGGGAAUAUUGCACAAUGGGCGCAAGCCUGAUGCAGCCAUGCCGCGUGUGUGAAGAAGGCCUUCGGGUUGUAAAGCACUUUCAGCGAGGAGGAAGGUGGUGAGCUUAAUACGUUCAUCAAUUGACGUUACUCGCAGAAGAAGCACCGGCUAACUCCGUGCCAGCAGCCGCGGUAAUACGGAGGGUGCAAGCGUUAAUCGGAAUUACUGGGCGUAAAGCGCACGCAGGCGGUUUGUUAAGUCAGAUGUGAAAUCCCCGGGCUCAACCUGGGAACUGCAUUUGAAACUGGCAAGCUAGAGUCUCGUAGAGGGGGGUAGAAUUCCAGGUGUAGCGGUGA